UGCAUUUGUUUAUAUUCCA
rnacentral:miRNA from 1 species